rnacentral:rRNA from 1 species
UACGAAGGGAGCUAGCGUUGUUCGGAAUUACUGGGCGUAAAGCGCGCGUAGGUGGCUUUUCAAGUCAGAGGUGAAAUCCCAGAGCUUAACUCUGGAAUUGCCUUUGAAACUGUUAAGCUUGAGUAUCGGAGGGGAUGGUGGAAUUUCUAAUGUAGCGGUGAAAUGCGUAGAUAUUAGAAGGAACACCGGUGGCGAAGGCGACCAUCUGGACGAUAACUGACACUGAGGCGCGAAAGCGUGGGGAUCAAACAGG